UAAAGAUAUGAAAAAUACUCAAAUUCACUCAAUUAGAGAAAUGCAGAUGCUAUGAUCUAAAUGUUUGUGUCUCCCCCAAAUUCAUAUGUUGAAAACCUAAUGUCCAAGGUGAUGGCAUGAGGAGGUGGGACCUUUGCAGGGGGGUGAUUAGGUCAUGAGGGUGGACCCCUCAUGAAUGGGAUUAGUGCUCUGAUAAAAGAGACCUCACAGAGCUCCCAAGCCCCUUCUACCAUGUGAGGACACAGGGGGCAGUUGGCAGUCUGCAAUCUGGAAGAGGGCCUUCACCAGAACCCAGCCAUGCUGGCACCAGGAUCUUGGACUUCCAGCCUCCAGAACCAUGAGAUAUAAAUUUCUUUUGUUUGUAAGCCACCCAGUCUGUGGUAUUUUGUUAACAGCAGUCCAAACAGACUAAGACAGCAAAUAAAAGAACACUGAGAUACUUACCAGACUGGCAAACACACAAACAUAUAUAUCGAAACAUCCUGUUGUUGAGGCUGUGGGGAAACAGUCACUCUUACACGUUACUGGUGGGCAUGCAAAUUCGUUUACCCCUUCUGGAGGGAAAUAGGACACCACCUGACACACUACAUACAUACUUACAUCGCAAUCCAGCAACCCCACUUCUAGGACAUGAAGGUGUAUAUAUGUACAAGGUUAUGUAUGGCAGCAUUCUUUGUAAUUGCAAAAUAAUUGAAAACAACCUAAAUACCCAUAUACAAGAGAGUGGUUAAAUAAACUGUGGUACAUCCACACAAUGGAAUAGUAUACAGCUGUGAAGAAGAACGAGGCGGCUCUCUCUGUGAAUGGAUGUGAUAUGAUUUCCAGGACACACUGUUAAGGGAAGAAAGCAGUGUCCAAAUGAGUAUCUAUAGUAUGCUAUAGGAAGUACAGGAAGGGCAACCCAGAAACUAAAUAGAUUGGUGGGAAAAGGCUGGAGAGAAGGGAAAAAUGGGAUCAGGGUUGCUGGGAUGAGAGGGGAAUACACUCCUGUGAAUAUAUCAUUUUGUAUAACUCUAACCAUAGUAAUGUCUCACCCCCCAAAUAAAUAAAUAGUUAAGGUGGAGUAGGAUGUAGGGGGAACGGAAGAUGGAAUACAAACAGAUGAAUCACAAGUAACAACCACACUGAAGGUGCUGGGAAGAAAAGAACUCACUGAAGUAACCUUGGAAAAGAGUGUCUUGAUUGGAUACGAGAAGAGUAAAGGGCACCAGCUGAAGGAUGAGAAUUUUGGGAAGAAAUUGGGGAAGAAACUCAGGAGAGAGGAAAACAUGAAAUAAGUGCGUGAGGACAAAAGUGGAACUGAGGCCACUGGGCUCUGGUGCCGGGAUCCCGUCCCUACCAGCGUUGCUGUGGGGAGGGCCCCACUCGCAGUGCCAGUGGCGGGGGGCGCUAUGGCUGUCCAGACCUCGGGAAGCUGCUGCGAUGGUUUGGGAUGUGCUGGUCACCCCACGGUCCAAGGCAGAUGUGCUACCAGAAAGCUGGCCAUGGCAAGGCUGGAGGUGCCCAGAAUGAGAACCUAGGGUUGGAUUUGUGUGUGCAUGCCUGCCCUGCUCAGCACGCAGAAACUGCUGCGGAGGUGCCAGUCCCAUGGGGUCACCCUGAAGACGCCUCUCCCUCUCCCUGCUUCAGCAGCAAAUGAGAACCUCGCUCUCGUGGCAGUGCCAGGCUCAUCACCAGCCAGGUGUGGAGAUGGCAACACCCAUGCCUGCAGAUGGAGCCAGUUGGUGCAGGCGUCCGCCUGCAUGGCCAGGGGGAAGUUAAUCUUCCAGUCCCUGCGACCGGCAGAGGUAGGUGCUGCUUUAAAUUAUGAGGGAAACUUCCAAUUUCCAAAUUCAGGGUCCACUUCAUCAACAAGAUAAAAAUGACCGCAGAGAAACAACAUGAUGCUAGCCCCCUUUCCCACCGCUCUGCCUUGCUCUCCCCCUGCACCAGCUGUGGAAAGGACGGAGGGUAAGGCAAGCUUUGCCGCUAUCCUAGACUUUCUUCCCAAGCAGCUUCUACAAGGGUGCUGAUGAUCAAGAGGAAAUUGUACCUCAAGAUACUAGGUCAUCCCUGAGAUGCGGCCCUCCCUCCGCAUACAGCAUGAGUAGCUAUCAUCUCCUGGACACCUACUGUGUGUCAUUCACCAUGCUUGGUACUUUUCAUGCACUGUGUUAUUUAAUUCUUAUGAUGGUCCAUGAUGGGAUCUCCAAUUAACAGGUGGAGAAACUGGGCUUCAGACAGGUUAUUUGUCCAAUGUCACUCAGCCCACAGAGGGACCCGGGUCAGUGGGCAGCCAAAGCCCCAUGCUGUUAGCCAAGAUGCUACUCUGUGGCUACCAGGCACUGUGCACUGGCGCUCAUGUUUCUGGGAUCUUGCUAAAGUAAAAUUUUUCUCUCCCUAAAACGGUGCUUUGCUUUUUCUGGGCCACC